rnacentral:rRNA from 1 species
GGUUAAGCGACUAAGCGUACACGGUGGAUGCCCUGGCAGUCAGAGGCGAUGAAGGACGUGCUAAUCUGCGAUAAGCGCCGGUAAGGUGAUAUGAACCGUUAUAACCGGCGAUUUCCGAAUGGGGAAACCCAGUGUGACUCGUCACACUAUCAUUAACUGAAUCCAUAGGUUAAUGAGGCGAACCGGGGGAACUGAAACAUCUAAGUACCCCGAGGAAAAGAAAUCAACCGAGAUUCCCCCAGUAGCGGCGAGCGAACGGGGAGGAGCCCAGAGCCUGAAUCAGCAUGUGUGUUAGUGGAAGCGUCUGGAAAGGCGCGCGAUACAGGGUGACAGCCCCGUACACAAAAGCGCAUGUGCUGUGAGCUCGAUGAGUAGGGCGGGACACGUGGUAUCCUGUCUGAAUAUGGGGGGACCAUCCUCCAAGGCUAAAUACUCCUGACUGACCGAUAGUGAACCAGUACCGUGAGGGAAAGGCGAAAAGAACCCCGGCGAGGGGAGUGAAAAAGAACCUGAAACCGUGUACGUACAAGCAGUGGGAGCACCCUUUGGGGUGUGACUGCGUACCUUUUGUAUAAUGGGUCAGCGACUUAUAUUCUGUAGCAAGGUUAACCGUAUAGGGGAGCCGCAGGGAAACCGAGUCUUAAUUGGGCGUUAAGUUGCAGGGUAUAGACCCGAAACCCGGUGAUCUAGCCAUGGGCAGGUUGAAGGUUGGGUAACACUAACUGGAGGACCGAACCGACUAAUGUUGAAAAAUUAGCGGAUGACCUGUGGCUGGGGGUGAAAGGCCAAUCAAACCGGGAGAUAGCUGGUUCUCCCCGAAAGCUAUUUAGGUAGCGCCUCGUGAACUCAUCUCCGGGGGUAGAGCACUGUUUCGGCUAGGGGGCCAUCCCGGCUUACCAACCCGAUGCAAACUGCGAAUACCGGAGAAUGUUAUCACGGGAGACACACGGCGGGUGCUAACGUCCGUCGUGAAGAGGGAAACAACCCAGACCGCCAGCUAAGGUCCCAAAGUCAUGGUUAAGUGGGAAACGAUGUGGGAAGGCCCAGACAGCCAGGAUGUUGGCUUAGAAGCAGCCAUCAUUUAAAGAAAGCGUAAUAGCUCACUGGUCGAGUCGGCCUGCGCGGAAGAUGUAACGGGGCUAAACCAUGCACCGAAGCUGCGGCAGCGACGCUUAUGCGUUGUUGGGUAGGGGAGCGUUCUGUAAGCCUGCGAAGGUGGCCUGUGAGGGUUGCUGGAGGUAUCAGAAGUGCGAAUGCUGACAUAAGUAACGAUAAAGCGGGUGAAAAGCCCGCUCGCCGGAAGACCAAGGGUUCCUGUCCAACGUUAAUCGGGGCAGGGUGAGUCGACCCCUAAGGCGAGGCCGAAAGGCGUAGUCGAUGGGAAACGGGUUAAUAUUCCCGUACUUGGUGUUACUGCGAAGGGGGGACGGAGAAGGCUAUGUUGGCCGGGCGACGGUUGUCCCGGUUUAAGCGUGUAGGUGUGUGUUCCAGGUAAAUCCGGUUCACUUUAACACUGAGGCGUGAUGACGAGGCACUACGGUGCUGAAGCAACAAAUGCCCUGCUUCCAGGAAAAGCCUCUAAGCAUCAGGUAACAUCAAAUCGUACCCCAAACCGACACAGGUGGUCAGGUAGAGAAUACCAAGGCGCUUGAGAGAACUCGGGUGAAGGAACUAGGCAAAAUGGUGCCGUAACUUCGGGAGAAGGCACGCUGACACGUAGGUGAAGUGAUUUACUCAUGGAGCUGAAGUCAGUCGAAGAUACCAGCUGGCUGCAACUGUUUAUUAAAAACACAGCACUGUGCAAACACGAAAGUGGACGUAUACGGUGUGACGCCUGCCCGGUGCCGGAAGGUUAAUUGAUGGGGUUAUCCGUAAGGAGAAGCUCUUGAUCGAAGCCCCGGUAAACGGCGGCCGUAACUAUAACGGUCCUAAGGUAGCGAAAUUCCUUGUCGGGUAAGUUCCGACCUGCACGAAUGGCGUAAUGAUGGCCAGGCUGUCUCCACCCGAGACUCAGUGAAAUUGAACUCGCUGUGAAGAUGCAGUGUACCCGCGGCAAGACGGAAAGACCCCGUGAACCUUUACUAUAGCUUGACACUGAACAUUGAGCCUUGAUGUGUAGGAUAGGUGGGAGGCUUUGAAGUGUGGACGCCAGUCUGCAUGGAGCCGACCUUGAAAUACCACCCUUUAAUGUUUGAUGUUCUAACGUGGACCCGUGAUCCGGGUUGCGGACAGUGUCUGGUGGGUAGUUUGACUGGGGCGGUCUCCUCCUAAAGAGUAACGGAGGAGCACGAAGGUUGGCUAAUCCUGGUCGGACAUCAGGAGGUUAGUGCAAUGGCAUAAGCCAGCUUGACUGCGAGCGUGACGGCGCGAGCAGGUGCGAAAGCAGGUCAUAGUGAUCCGGUGGUUCUGAAUGGAAGGGCCAUCGCUCAACGGAUAAAAGGUACUCCGGGGAUAACAGGCUGAUACCGCCCAAGAGUUCAUAUCGACGGCGGUGUUUGGCACCUCGAUGUCGGCUCAUCACAUCCUGGGGCUGAAGUAGGUCCCAAGGGUAUGGCUGUUCGCCAUUUAAAGUGGUACGCGAGCUGGGUUUAGAACGUCGUGAGACAGUUCGGUCCCUAUCUGCCGUGGGCGCUGGAGAACUGAGGGGGGCUGCUCCUAGUACGAGAGGACCGGAGUGGACGCAUCACUGGUGUUCGGGUUGUCAUGCCAAUGGCACUGCCCGGUAGCUAAAUGCGGAAGAGAUAAGUGCUGAAAGCAUCUAAGCACGAAACUUGCCCCGAGAUGAGUUCUCCCUGAGACUUAAAGUCUCCUGAAGGAACGUUGAAGACGACGACGUUGAUAGGCCGGGUGUGUAAGCGCAGCGAUGCGUUGAGCUAACCGGUACUAAUGAACCGUGAGGCUUAACCUU